GGGCGUUUAACUCAGUUGGCAGAGUGUUUGCUUUACAUGCAAAAUGUCGGGGGUUCGAGUCCCUCAACGCCCACCA
rnacentral:tRNA from 1 species